rnacentral:rRNA from 4 species
CAGACCUCUAAUCGAAAA